CCCGGGUCUUGUACACACCGCCCGUCACACCAUGGGAGCGGGUUCUGCCAGAAGUAGUUGGCCUAACCGUAAGGAGGGCGAUUACCACGGCAGGGUUCGUGACUGGGGUG
rnacentral:rRNA from 1 species